GGGCCCGCACAAGCGGUGGAGCAUGUGGUUUAAUUCGAUGAUACGCGAGGAACCUUACCAGGGCUUAAAUGUAGUCUGACAGCUUUAGAGAUAGAGUUUUCUUCGGACAGAUUACAAGGUGCUGCAUGGUUGUCGUCAGCUCGUGCCGUGAGGUGUCAGGUUAAGUCCUAUAACGAGCGCAACCCCUGUUGUUAGUUGCCAGCGAGUAAUGUCGGGAACUCUAACAAGACUGCCGGUGCAAACCGUGAGGAAGGUGGGGAUGACGUCAAAUCAUCACGGCCCUUACGUCCUGGGCCACACACGUGCUACAAUGGCCGGUACAGAGAGCAGCCACUACGCGAGUAGGAGCGAAUCUAUAAAACCUAUCUCAGUUCGGAUCGGAGUCUGCAACUCGACUCCGUG
rnacentral:rRNA from 1 species